AGCGAACGCUGGCGGCGGGCCUAACACAUGCAAGUCGAACGAACCCUUCGGGGUUAGUGGCGGACGGGUGAGUAACACGUGGGAACGUGCCUUUAGGUUCGGAAUAACUCAGGGAAACUUGUGCUAAUACCGAAUGUGCCCUUCGGGGGAAAGAUUUAUCGCCUUUAGAGCGGCCCGCGUCUGAUUAGCUAGUUGGUGAGGUAAUGGCUCACCAAGGCGACGAUCAGUAGCUGGUCUGAGAGGAUGACCAGCCACAUUGGGACUGAGACACGGCCCAAACUCCUACGGGAGGCAGCAGUGGGGAAUCUUGCGCAAUGGGCGAAAGCCUGACGCAGCCAUGCCGCGUGGAUGAUGAAGGUCUUAGGAUUGUAAAAUCCUUUCACCGGUGAAGAUAAUGACUGUAGCCGGAGAAGAAGCCCCGGCUAACUUCGUGCCAGCCGCCGCUGUAAUAC
rnacentral:rRNA from 1 species